UGCCCAGCAACUCCUAUCCCUACCUCCACGCGGUACCGGCCGGGAACUAUGAGAAACCUUAGGGAAGA
rnacentral:ribozyme from 1 species